GUUGUAACGGCUCAGUGGUAGAGCACUUGUCUAGUAUGUGUGAGGCACUGGGUUCAAUCCUCAGCAACA
rnacentral:tRNA from 1 species